rnacentral:rRNA from 1 species
UUUUUAGGUAAAUUGGUUUAACUUGAGUAGUAAUAGUUAUGGUCUUGAAACUUAAAGAAUUUGGCGGUGUCUUAGUCUAUUUAGAGGAACCUGUCCCAUAAUCGAUAGUCCGCGAAGAACCUUACUUAAUUUAUUUGUAUGUAUACCGCCGUUUAUUGAAGAUUUUUUUAGAAUAUUUUCGUAAUAUUAUAAUUUAUAAUAUUUCAGGUCAAGGUGCAGUUUAUGAUUAAGAGGAGAUGGGUUACAAUGUUUAAAAUUAAAUGGAUUUUAGAUUGAAAUAUUUAUAUAAAGGUGGAUUUAAUAGUAAUUAUUUGUAGAUUGUUAUUAUGAUCUUAGCUCUNAAGGCNGU